UACGGGAGGCAGCAGUGGGGAAUAUUGCACAAUGGGCGCAAGCCUGAUGCAGCCAUGCCGCGUGUAUGAAGAAGGCCUUCGGGUUGUAAAGUACUUUCAGUCGUGAGGAAGGUGUUAAGGUUAAUAACCUUAGCAAUUGACGUUAGCGACAGAAGAAGCACCGGCUAACUCCGUGCCAGCAGCCGCGGUAAUACGGAGGGUGCGAGCGUUAAUCGGAAUUACUGGGCGUAAAGGGCACGCAGGCGGUUAAUUAAGUUGGAUGUGAAAUCCCCGGGCUUAACCUGGGAAUGGCAUUCAAGACUGGUUAGCUAGAGUCUUGUAGAGGGGGUAGAAUUCCAUGUGUAGCGGUGAAAUGCGUAGAGAUGUGGAGGAAUACCGGUGGCGAAGGCGGCCCCUGGACAAAGACUGACGCCCAUGUGCGAAAGCGUGGGGAGCAAACAGGGAUUAGAUACC
rnacentral:rRNA from 1 species